rnacentral:SRP_RNA from 1 species
ACUGGGUGCGGUGGCUCUUGCCUGUAAUCCCAGCACUUUGGGAGGCUGAGGUGGGAGGACUGCUUGAGGUUACGAGUUUGAGACCAGCCUGGGUAACAAAGAGAGACCCCAUCUUUACAAAAAUGUUAAAAAUUAGGGGCAUCCAUAUGGUGACCUCCCGGGAGCAGGGGACCACCAGGUUGCCUAAGGAGGGGUGAACUGGCCCAGGUCGGAAAUGGAGCAAGUCAAAACUCCCGUGCUGAUCAGCAGUGGGAUCACGCCUGUGAAUAGCCACUGCACUCCAGCCUGGGCAGCAUAGUGAGACCCCUUCUCU